UUAAAAAGAAUUAAACUGGGAUUAGAUACCCCACUAUGCCCAGCCUCAAACUAUGACUCAAUACAAAACACUUCCGCCCGGGAACUACGAGCUCCAGCUUAAAACCCAAAGGACUUGGCGGUGCCCCACCCACCUAGAGGAGCCUGUUCUAUAAUCGAUAACCCCCGCUUAACCUCACCACUUCUUGCCAAUACCGCCUAUAUACCACCGUCGCCAGCCCACCCCGUGAGGGAAUAAGUAGGCACAAUGAUCACCACCAAAACGUCAGGUCAAGGUGUAGCGUAUGAAGUGGAAAGAAAUGGGCUACAUUCUCUAAUCUAGAGCACACGAAAAAUCAUAAGAAAUUAGAUUGGAAGGAGGAUUUAGUAGUAAAAAGAAACAAUAGUGUUCUUUUUAAAUUGGCCCUGGGGCGCGCACACACCGCCCGUCACCC
rnacentral:rRNA from 1 species